rnacentral:rRNA from 1 species
GACGAACGCUGGCGGCGUGCUUAACACAUGCAAGUCGAACGGAGUUUAAAUCAGUAGUUUACUACAGAUUUAAACUUAGUGGCGGACGGGUGAGUAACACGUGGGCAACCUGCCCUAAAGAGGGGGAUAACACCGAGAAAUCGGUGCUAAUACCGCAUGACAUUAGAGCUUCGCAUGGAGCUUUAAUCAAAGGAGUAAUCCGCUUUAGGAUGGGCCCGCGUCUGAUUAGCUAGUUGGUGAGGUAGAGGCUCACCAAGGCGACGAUCAGUAGCCGAUCUGAGAGGAUGACCGGCCACACUGGAACUGAGACACGGUCCAGACUCCUACGGGAGGCAGCAGUGGGGAAUAUUGCACAAUGGGGGAAACCCUGAUGCAGCAACGCCGCGUGGAGGAAGAAGGUUUUCGGAUUGUAAACUCCUGUCUUUUGGGACGAUAAUGACGGUACCAAAAGAGGAAGCCACGGCUAACUAACGUGCCAGCAGCCGCGGUAAGAGUCACGUCG